ACUCUCUCCAGCGCCGUCAUAAACCAUAAGUGGUCAAAUACGAGAUCUAUAGAAAUCCAUACCAGGAUCAAGCGAAAAACCUUAUUUCUAGCUAAAAGAUUUCAGUUUACCUGCUUCGUCUUAUUCUUCUCCAUCUUUGGCCAAUAGUAUUGGCAUAUCAUGUCUAGAAGGGGAAACUAAGCGCUUCAUACACUAAACAAAUCUAAGAGGAGUAAAGAAGAGAAAGAUGUGGAUAAGGAAUGGACGAAAGAUUGGAUGGAUAAUUUAGAUGACGUAAUUAAAAUUGGUUUGGGCGGGCUCGGGAAUGAUGGCACUUUUGGGAAUCACACUUACUAAUUUCCAAGGUCUUGACGGCAGAGAUAAGUGCGAUGCCGGGCCAGAGAUGGUGAAGAAGAUCUUGAAAACUGGAGGUGUGUCCCUAAUGCUUCUUACUGCUUCUUCAUUUGCUGCUAUAUGCACAAAAAGUGUUGAAAAAUCUUUCGAGAAUACGAAGGACAAAUUGAAGAAGAAGAUUUUGAGAUUUGGAUAAAGCAUGUGCAUCGUCCCAAUGGAUUUCAGAGGGUAUUUAUGUAAAUUAACUCUCCUGUCUGGUUUACAAAGCCCUUAGAAUUUCAUUUUUCAUUCAUUCCCCAAAACUCAAAACCCUUUGAUUUUGUUCAGUGCGAAACCUAAAAACUUCAACAAAAAUCAUUUUAUCCACCAUGGUUCUGUUUUUGACAUCACGGCAGAAAUAAAUUUAUGUUUCCAAAUCAUCAACAUCAGCAGGAUUUGGUGGUAAAGAUGUUCUAGUUAGGAAGAUUGUGAACCUGGAUAAUCAUAUUGAUUCGUCACAUUUUGAUAUACAAGGAAAGGAUUGAGUGUCAAAGCCAUGGACUCGCAGUUCAGGUUCCUAUAGCUGUUGGAAUACUCAAAGUGGUGAUGUGAGUCCAUCUCUCAUUGUCAGACUAAUCCCUCAGCGACAGACGGCAGUGCCCUGUUGGAAGGAUAAUGCAACAGGGAGAAACUACAACUCUACGCAUGACAUUUUGGAGAAAACCUACAAAAGAAAUUUUUGGACGACAAACAGUGAAGCUUGCUCUUUGUGCGUUUCUUGAGUGUAUGAUACUCGCGUAACAUGUCCGCAAGUUAGUAACAUACGGAAGUAAUCCAUUUGAUGCAGAAAUCGUGGUAUUUAUUUCAUGCCAAAUGGUUUAAGUGGUACUGAUAAGAGGCAGAAAUCGUGUACAUCACCCUGGAAUAUCAUUAUUUAAUGGUUUGUCCUGGUUUCACAAGGUAGCCAAGUGGUUUAAGUGGUAGUGAUAAGAGGCAGAAGUCAUGUGCCAGCUUGGAUGGCUAAUGCAACAGGGGGAAACUCCAACUCCAUGCAUGAAUUUUUGGAGAAAACCUACAAAGAAACUUUUGGACAAGAAACUGUGAAGCUUGCUAUUUGUGCAUUACUCGAGGUCCUAUUGCUGAAGACAUGUACGGUAUACCAUUGGCAAGUAGCAAUUAUGGGUCCUCCAGACAGUCCGUAAGCAGGAGGAGGCUUUUUAGUUGUGAUUCACUUUUCUCCAGAUUCCAUUUAAACCACCAAAGUACCGUGUACUCUAUAUAAUACAAGGUGUUGGAAAAACUUGAUAAAAUCGGCGGGCUGUGAAGCUUAUGUAAUCUGCUAAGCAAGUUAUUGUGUAAUAAUGAUUGGUUAGUUGAGGCACUUUUGGUCGGGUUAUUUAACUGUACUUUCUUUAUGCAUUUCUGUCGUUACCUUUUUAACUGGGAAAGGUUAGGACUAGUACACUGAUGUGAAAGAGAAACUCUUGGAAGCUGCUUGUACUUCUCCUGCAUUAGCCCUUAGGUUCCGAGUUCAAUUCAACAAAUGGGCCAUCAUAGUUCGACUGCUGUUACCAGAGAGAACUGUCCUCAUGCAGAAAGGCAUGAAAACGGUAUUGAGGCCAUACUUUGAGCUUACAAAUGUGACUCUUCAAACUUGCACUAAAUGAGGCUUCUCGUAUAGGUGAUUUAGAGUUGUAUAGGGAUGUUGGCAUGUUGCGGAUAAGUUUGCAAGUACUGCCAGCUCAGACAGGACUCCCAAUCUGAUUGUGAUGUUGCGACAUAUUGUCAUCCGGACAGGGCUUUGCAAUAUAAGCAUCUCUUAUCCUCGCAUUUCACUUGUUCACGUUGCUCACAAGCUGAGGUUAGACUCAACGAACCCUGUGUGGUGCCGAGAGCAUUGCAGCCAAGGAAAUCCGAGAUUGUGCCAUCGAUGCAACUUUGGACCCUACAAACGGGUGGAGGAUGGUACCUAAGGAGACUGGAAAUACUCCCUCUGUAAAUGAACCUAAUCUGCUUUCAUCUCGAGGACUGCCUUCUGCCUCAACAUGCAUAAUGAAGCUUGGCGCCUUGGGAUUCUCUCCAAAAGGAAAGUGCAGAAAAGAGAGGUGAGAGACGACAACAGAAGGAGCUUGUGAAGCAUAUUGCCGUGAUCUGUGGAUGAUGACAAUGAGUUCUAACUGUCACCUUCCAGCAUUUGUCAAGCUGUUACUAUGACAGUACCAUUCCUUAUAUUUAUAAAAACUGAUCUUGGUGGGUUUUAAAA